rnacentral:rRNA from 1 species
UCCUACGGGGGGCAGCAGUGGGGAAUAUUGCACAAUGGGCGAAAGCCUGAUGCAGCAACGCCGCGUGAAGGAAGACGGUUUUCGGAUUGUAAACUUCUAUCAAUAGGGAAGAAAGAAAUGACGGUACCUGACUAAGAAGCCCCGGCUAACUACGUGCCAGCAGCCGCGGUAAUACGUAGGGGGCAAGCGUUAUCCGGAUUUACUGGGUGUAAAGGGAGCGUAGACGGCAUAGCAAGUCUGAUGUGAAAGAUCGGGGCUCAACCCCGGGCCUGCAUUGGAAACUGUUAAGCUGGAGUACAGGAGAG